UACGAAGGGGCUAGCGUUGUUCGGAAUUACUGGGCGUAAAGCGCACGUAGGCGGACAUUUAAGUCAGGGGUGAAAUCCCAGAGCUCAACUCUGGAACUGCCUUUGAUACUGGGUGUCUUGAGUAUGGAAGAGGUGAGUGGAACUGCGAGUGUAGAGGUGAAAUUCGUAGAUAUUCGCAAGAACACCAGUGGCGAAGGCGGCUCACUGGUCCGGUACUGACGCUGAGGUGCGAAAGCGUGGGGAGCAAACAGG
rnacentral:rRNA from 1 species